rnacentral:rRNA from 1 species
AACGAACGCUGGCGGCAGGCUUAACACAUGCAAGUCGAGCGCCCCGCAAGGGGAGCGGCAGACGGGUGAGUAACGCGUGGGAAUCUACCGAGCCCUAAGGAAUAGCUCCGGGAAACUGGAAUUAAUACCUUAUACGCCCUUCGGGGGAAAGAUUUAUCGGGGUUGGGUGAGCCCGCGUUGGAUUAGCUAGUUGGUGGGGUAAAGGCCUACCAAGGCGACGAUCCAUAGCUGGGCUGAGAGGAUGAUCAGCCACAUUGGGACUGAGACACGGCCCAAGCUUCUACGGGAGGCAGCAGUGGGGAAUAUUGGACAAUGGGCGCAAGCCUGAUCCAGCCAUGCCGCGUGAGUGAUGAAGGCCCUAGGGUUGUAAAGCUCUUUCACCGGUGAAGAUAAUGACGGUAACCGGAGAAGAAGCCCCGGCUAACUUCGUGCCAGCCGCCGCAGUAAAAC